AUGGAUUUUGAAGUAGCAGGUGUUGAAAUUGAAACAGAAGCCGAACAACUUCCGCGGACAACUCCCUUCCGGUCUCUUCCUCUUUUCGCUCCCAGCCGGCACGUCUUCUCCCUCCGUCCGGACAGAACCUCACUCCGGCCACCCAUCCGGUCCCCCUCCGUCAAUCUCUGUUACAUACUCCCUCUUUUCUUCACUUCAAAAUCCACUUUUAGUUGGAAUUAG